AACCUGGUUGAUCCUGCCAGUAGUCAUAUGCUUGUCUCAAAGAUUAAGCCAUGCAUGUAUAAGUAUAAAUUUGUUUAUGGUGAAACUGCGAAUGGCUCAUUACAACGGUUAUAGUUUACUUGAGAUAUCACUACUGGAUACCCGUAGUAACUCUAGAGCUAAUACAUUCCUCGGGACUUAAGUCUCGUGUUUAUUAGAUGUCACCGAACAGGUUUCGGCCUGUAGGGGAGUCAUGAUAAAUCAACGAAUCGUGUUUACGAUGCUUCAAACAAGUUUCUGCCCCAUCAGCCUGGAUGGUUGUGUAUUGGACUACCAUCGCAGUUACGGGUAACGAGGAAUUAGGGUUCGAUUUCGGAGAGGGAGUCUGAGAAACGGCUACCACAUCUACGGAAGGCAGCAGGCGCGCAAAUUACCCAAUGUAAAUAAGUAUGAGGUAGUGACAAGAAAUACUAACGUGAGGCGAAAGUCUUGCGAUUAGAAUGGACUAAAUUUAAACAAUUUAGUGACGAGCAACUGGAGGGCAAGUCUGGUGCCAGCAGCCGCGGUAAUACCAGCUCCAGUAGCGUAUAUUAAAGUUGUUGCAGUUGAAACGCUCGUAGUCUGAGGUAAAUCCUUUUGGAAUAACCGUUCGCCUCGCUAGUCAGCUGACUGGUGAGAUCCCGACGGUUUUUCACCUUGAAUAAAUCAGAGUGUUCAAGGCAGGCACAGCCUGAAUACUUCCGCAUGGAAUGAGACGAAUAUUAUUUCCCUUGUUCGGUGCUUGGGUUUGUUAAUAUCUUUAGGAACAGUCGAGGACAUUUUGUACUUAUCGAAGAGAAGUGAAGUCUGGAUCGAAUAAUGACAGAACAAAGCGAAAGCAUCUGCAAAGGAUGUUUUCUUUGAUCAAGAACGAAGGUCAGGGUAUCGAAGACGAUCAGAUACCGUCGUAGUCCUGACUGUAAACUAUGCCGACUGGAGUUCCAUUGAGCAGUUUUAAACUCAGUGGGGAUCCAGAGAGAAAUCAAAGUUUUUGGGUUCUGGGGGAAGUAUGGUCGCAAGGCUGAAACUUGAAGGAAUUGACGGAAGGGCACCACCGGGCGUGGAGCUUGCGGCUUAAUUUGACUCAACGCGGGAAAACUUACCAGGUCAAAACAUGGUAAUGAUUGACAGGCUGAUAGUCCUUUCUCGAUUCCAUGGCUGGUGGUGCAUGGCCGUUCUUAGUUGGUGGACUGAUCUGUCUGGUUAAUUCCGGUAACGAACGAGACCUUGGCCUGCUAAUUAGGGGGAGCUCUUCUGCGCUUUCACCUUCUUAGAGGGACAAUGAUGGUUACAUCACUGAAGCUCGAGGCAAUAACAGGUCUGUUAUGCCCUUAGAUGUCCUGGGCCGCACGCGUGCUACAAUGACGCACUCAGCAAGCCAGCCGGUCGAAAGACCGACUAAAUCGCAAAAGUGUGUCUUGUUAGGGACAGUUCCUUGUAAUUGUGGAGCUCUAACAAGGAAUGCCUAGUAAGUGCAAGUCAACAUCUUGUGCUGAUUACGUCCCUGCCCUUUGUACACACCGCCCGUCGCUCCUACCGAUUUCGAGUGAUCAGGUGAGUUCCUUGGACCGCAAGGAAAAAGAAACGAAUCUGACCACUUAGAGGAAGGAGAAGUCGUAACAAGGUUUCCGUAGGUGAACCUGCAGAAGGAUC
rnacentral:rRNA from 1 species